UACAGAGGUCCCGAGCGUUGUUCGGAUUCACUGGGCGUAAAGGGUGCGUAGGUGGUGGGGUAAGUCGGAUGUGAAAGCUCGGAGCUCAACUCCGAAAUGGCAUUGGAAACUACCCUGCUGGAGGUUUGGAGGGGGGACUGGAAUACUUGGUGGUAGCAGGUGAAAUGCGUAGAUAUCAAGUGGAACACCAGUGGCGAAGGCGAGUCCCUGGACAAAACCUGACACUGAGGCACGAAAGCUAGGGGAGCAAACAGG
rnacentral:rRNA from 1 species